rnacentral:misc_RNA from 1 species
UAGUCAGGUUCUGCAUUCACACAUCC